rnacentral:rRNA from 1 species
CUGGCUCAGGAUGAACGCUAGCUACAGGCUUAACACAUGCAAGUCGAGGGGUAGCAGGGUAGCAAUACCGCUGACGACCGGCGCACGGGUGAGUAACACGUAUCCAACCUUCCCAUAACUCAGGGAUAGCCUUUCGAAAGAAAGAUUAAUACCUGAUAGUACUUUUUCAAGGCAUCUUGAGAAAGUUAAAGAUUUAUUGGUUAUGGAUGGGGAUGCGUUCCAUUAGAUAGUUGGUGAGGUAACGGCUCACCAAGUCUUCGAUGGAUAGGGGUUCUGAGAGGAAGGUCCCCACAUUGGUACUGAGACACGGACCAAACUCCUACGGGAGGCAGCAGUGAGGAAUAUUGGUCAAUGGGCGAGAGCCUGAACCAGCCAAGUAGCGUGAAGGAUGAAGGUCCUAUGGAUUGUAAACUUCUUUUAUAGUAGAAUAAAGUGAUCCACGUGUGGAUUUUUGUAUGUAUACUAUGAAUAAGGAUCGGCUAACUCCGUGCCAGCCGCAGC